AACUAACCUCAUAUUCUUGUUAUUAUUUAAUAAAAUAUAGAUAAAAUUUAUUUAUUAAAUUAAUUAAAAUAAAUAAACAAAAAUCUAGAGGUCAACAGAAUUAUAACAAUCACGAUGAAACCUUGGAUAUUUUUGCUGAUUGAUUAUUAAAAGAAGAAAUUGCUGAGAAGAUGUCAACAACACAUUCAAAAAUUCCAGUUACCAUUGAAAUUGAAAGACAUUGAAUGUAAAUUAUAUUUCGUAUUGUCAUCUGAUAAAAUUUGUAUGGGUGUUCUUGAUGUUGAGAUAUUGUUUUAUUAUAAAGAGUUGCAGUAUCAGGAUGAUAGUAAUUUGUCAUGUAAUAGUUGUGAUGUAAUUGGAGGUGUUUGGAUGACGAUGAAGCUUGUUGAUCUUCACUUGGACCUUACAAAAAGACAGAUCUACAAACUUGGGAAGAUAAUUUUAGAGCAUCAAUUCUUGAUGACAGGUUGACUUACAAAAUUAUUGAUGAACUCGAAGCAUGGAAAGAACAUCACCAAGAAAUUUUUUGUAUUGAGUUGAAAAAAAAAGAAAAAAGAUAUUUGACUAGAUUAAGUGAAGAGUGGAAGGAACCAAAAGAAGUAUUAGAUACAUUACAUUCUUUAUCUGUUUUUCAAGGACAUACAGAGUAAAUAAUAACUUUAUUAUUUAUUAUAUAAUUCAAAUAAAUACGUAUCGUUUAUUUAUUUUUGUUUUUUUUUUCAUUACAGAGUUGUUACUUUAAUUAAUAAAAUAAAUAAAAAUUGGUUUGAUGAAUUAUGGGGUUAUUUCUAUUAAUGUAAAAUGAUUAUUUAAUUACCAUUAUUUCAACUAGAAAUAAUGUACUACCAGUUUCUUCUUUUAAUAAUUAAUCAGCAAAAAUAACUAAGAUUUCAUCGUGAUUGUUCUGAAGAGAAAAAAAACAACAUGAAAACAAAUUAUGAGACCAGUUAUUAUCCAUGAACUUAUCAACAAAGUAACAACUGUAAAUGCUGAAAUUUUAAAAUGAUUUGUUGCAACGACUAAAUUAACUUCUCCAAUAAUAUCAAACUA